CCCGCCUACGGGAGGCAGCAGUAGGGAAUCUUCCGCAAUGGACGAAAGUCUGACGGAGCAACGCCGCGUGAGUGAUGAAGGUUUUCGGAUCGUAAAGCUCUGUUGUUAGGGAAGAACAAGUACCGUUCGAAUAGGGCGGUACCUUGACGGUACCUAACCAGAAAGCCACGGCUAACUACGUGCCAGCAGCCGCGGUAAUACGUAGGUGGCAAGCGUUGUCCGGAAUUAUUGGGCGUAAAGGGCUCGCAGGCGGUUCCUUAAGUCUGAUGUGAAAGCCCCCGGCUCAACCGGGGAGGGUCAUUGGAAACUGGGGAACUUGAGUGCAGAAGAGGAGAGUGGAAUUCCACGUGUAGCGGUGAAAUGCGUAGAGAUGUGGAGGAACACCAGUGGCGAAGGCGACUCUCUGGUCUGUAACUGACGCUGAGGAGCGAAAGCGUGGGGAGCGAACAGGAUUAGAUACCCUGGUAGUCCACGCCGUAAACGAUGAGUGCUAAGUGUUAGGGGGUUUCCGCCCCUUAGUGCUGCAGCUA
rnacentral:rRNA from 1 species